AGCGAACGCUGGCGGCGUGCUUAACACAUGCAAGUCGAACGGUAAGGCCCUUCGGGGUACACGAGUGGCGAACGGGUGAGUAACACGUGGGUGAUCUGCCCUGCACUUCGGGAUAAGCCUGGGAAACUGGGCCUAAUACCGGAUAGGACUCCGGACUGCAUGGUCUGGGGUGGAAAGCUUUCGCGGUGUGGGAUGGGCCCGCGGCCUAUCAGCUUGUUGGUGGGGUGAUGGCCUACCAAGGCGACGACGGGUAGCCGGCCUGAGAGGGUGACCGGCCACACUGGGACUGAGAUACGGCCCAGACUCCUACGGGAGGCAGCAGUGGGGAAUAUUGCACAAUGGGCGCAAGCCUGAUGCAGCGACGCCGCGUGAGGGAUGACGGCCUUCGGGUUGUAAACCUCUUUCAGCAUCGACGAAGCGAAAGUGACGGUAGGUGCAGAAGAAGGACCGGCCAACUACGUGCCAGCAGCCGCGGUAA
rnacentral:rRNA from 1 species